rnacentral:lncRNA from 1 species
GGGGGUGAGGGUGGGGUGGGGGAACAGUCUGACACAGGGGGAUUUCCCCCUGGAUACAAUAUUGCAAUUAUUUGGGGGGAGGGGUAUGCUGUUUUUACAAAAACCUUCUAUUUUAAUUGGACCUUCUAAGAGAAUUGUACUUAGAAGACUUUUGUUUGUUCCCUGUGUUGUAUGGCAAGAUACACGAGGUGGCCACUCUGCCUUGACGUCUCUUGGGUCUAAGCUGCCCCCUCACUCCCACCCACCAAAGCCUUGGCCCGGAAGAUGCCUCUCAUCGUUAUGCAGCUGACGGGGAAGGAGACAGGCACGAAGACGCCCUUCUCUGCUCUCCCGGUGCCAGGACCCACGCACAGAGCAGAACACGAGGCCCAGAAGAAUCUCACCCUUUCGGGUCCGAAAGGGGUCCACAUAUGGGGUCAUGAAGAAACAGAGAGUACCCCAUGCAUCCCAGUUUACAGAGAAUGAGAGACCCCCAGCCCCGAUACUAGACGUCUGUCCCAUGGGCCCGUGUGCCCAGUGGGCACUUGCAGGCUGGCCUGGCGGGGGCACGGAGCAAGCACAGGCCCUGUAGGCCCCAGUCUGGUUUAGACCCCAACUGGGUUGCACACCGUGGGCUACCCCGCUUCAUGCCUCGGGGUCCCCAUUUCCAAAAUGGGCUAAUGGAGCCAGUCUCAGCAGGAUGGUUGGCAGAGUUAAGAGCCGACGCUCCGGUGGUGAUGGGGCUCAGCACGGCCAGAGGGGCUGUGUCGGCUGCAUGGCUUCUGCUCAGCAAGGCGUGCGCCGUGGUCGGCUCGGGGUCACAUCCACCCGAGGGUAGCUGAACUUCAGCUCCGAGCCAUGGUACCUGUCCGACCAGGGUGACAGCCCCUGAGAGCCCGGAGCAGCCCGACAGCCUGCCGUCUCAGUGGAGAAGGCAGGCUGGGCUCCAGCCAGGGGCGUUGAGUGCGGGUGCCCGGGCCAGCCGCAAGUUCAAGGCUUCCGGAAGCGAGCCAGCUCUCACCACUAACACACACCUACACGGACACACACACACAGAUGCAUUCACACACCUAUACACAUUCACACACAUGUGCACGUACACAGACACGUGAACAUACAUAUGUGCACAUGGGCACACAUUUACACACACACCAAACACACGUUCAUACGUGUAAACGUACACACACACUCCGGCAUGCACAGACCCCUAAACUCACUCAUGUACACACACACACACACACACACACACACACACUCCCACACCAACAGUGCCUGGUCAAUACAUGGGGUUGGCCUUGCUAAGAGAAACAGGUCUUUCUCAAUCAUCCCCUGUUGUUCCCACUGGGCACCAAAGGAUGUGGCCCAGGGCAGCCUCAGAAGGACAGAGUCCCCGGGCGGGUGAUUUCCCAGUCAGGAGCUCAGCCCCGGGGGACUGCCCGGUUUUACCUGGUGGCAUCAGGCCCCUUGUCACGUGGGGUCGGCACCCUGCAGCAAAUGCUCUGACAACGCCCGCCCCUCUGCGCGAAGGCCACCUGCCUCCCUUAUUUCCCUGUGACUCAUUCGACACCUCUGGCCACAGGAGGACCCGGACCCGGACCGGCAUUUCUGGAGCCUCGCUCUCCUGCCUGCAGGACCUACACCCACGUCAGCCACUGGCCAGUCCCAGCAUGGAUCUUGUCACGGGCAGUCUUCUCCUGAGCCACCUGCCGCAGGGCCCCAGGGGUGGGAGCCAGCGGACUGUCCCUCUGGAGCCUGCAGCAGGUGAGGGGACCAGUGUCCACCCCCUGCUGUCCCACAGGCUGCUGUACAAGGUAGAUUUCUAGUGAGGGAAGAUCACUAGCCCCUCCCAGGCCCGGGUGCUCUGUCCUGUCCCCCCACCGCACACACACAUCUAUGCCAGGUCCUGAAAAGAGGCACUGGGAGAGUCCAACCUCAUUCAUUAAGUCCUCCCACGUGGCCAGCCGUGCUGGGUCAGUCACUGGAAGAGGCACAAGAAAAUGCAGUAACCUCCCCGCUGUCCCUGGUUGUCCUCCCUCUGGUGCCAGCCUGCGCCUGUAUUGUGGACCACCUCCCUCCCUCCUUCCCUCCUUCCCUCCCUCUCUCUCUCUCCCUCUCUCACACAGCUUCCAGAGUCCUCUGCUCAAUUCCAAUCUGUUUCCAUGCAGAGCCCCAGGCUUGCUGUCCAUAGUCCCAAAUGCAUUCAGGUGCUCUGCUGAACAAAGAGAGUCUCCCACCAUAGCUAUCAAAGAGAAAAAAAAGGGGGCACCUGGGUGGCUCUGUCACUUGAGCCCCCGACUCUCGAUUUUGGCUCAAGAUCUCAGGGUCAUGGGAUCGAGCCCCGUGUUAGGUCCAUGCUCAGCAUGGAGCUUAAGAUUCUCUCUCUCCCUCUCUCUCUGCCCCUCUCCCCCACCCUCAUGUGCUCUCUCUCUCUCUUUCACUCUCUAAAAAAAAUAAAAUAAGGUAGUAAAAAUAAAAAGACAGAUGCAUGCUCCUUACUCUUUUGCUUUGUUUUUCUUUCUUUAACAUUUUUCAGAUCAAGGUCUUAUUAAGCAAGACUCCUGUCUUUGGCCAGAGAGAAUCCCAAGAGUG